rnacentral:rRNA from 1 species
CAGGAAAAGCCUCUAAGCAUCAGGUAACAUCAAAUCGUACCCCAAACCGACACAGGUGGUCAGGUAGAGAAUACCAAGGCGCUUGAGAGAACUCGGGUGAAGGAACUAGGCAAAAUGGUGCCGUAACUUCGGGAGAAGGCACGCUGACACGUAGGUGAAGUGAUUUACUCAUGGAGCUGAAGUCAGUCGAAGAUACCAGCUGGCUGCAACUGUUUAUUAAAAACACAGCACUGUGCAAACACGAAAGUGGACGUAUACGGUGUGACGCCUGCCCGGUGCCGGAAGGUUAAUUGAUGGGGUCAGCGCAAGCGAAGCUCCUGAUCGAAGCCCCGGUAAACGGCGGCCGUAACUAUAACGGUCCUAAGGUAGCGAAAUUCCUUGUCGGGUAAGUUCCGACCUGCACGAAUGGCGUAAUGAUGGCCAGGCUGUCUCCACCCGAGACUCAGUGAAAUUGAACUCGCUGUGAAGAUGCAGUGUACCCGCGGCAAGACGGAAAGACCCCGUGAACCUUUACUAUAGCUUGACACUGAACAUUGAGCCUUGAUGUGUAGGAUAGGUGGGAGGCUUUGAAGUGUGGACGCCAGUCUGCAUGGAGCCGACCUUGAAAUACCACCCUUUAAUGUUUGAUGUUCUAACGUGGACCCGUUACCCGGGUUGCGGACAGUGUCUGGUGGGUAGUUUGACUGGGGCGGUCUCCUCCUAAAGAGUAACGGAGGAGCACGAAGGUUGGCUAAUCCUGGUCGGACAUCAGGAGGUUAGUGCAAUGGCAUAAGCCAGCUUGACUGCGAGCGUGACGGCGCGAGCAGGUGCGAAAGCAGGUCAUAGUGAUCCGGUGGUUCUGAAUGGAAGGGCCAUCGCUCAACGGAUAAAAGGUACUCCGGGGAUAACAGGCUGAUACCGCCCAAGAGUUCAUAUCGACGGCGGUGUUUGGCACCUCGAUGUCGGCUCAUCACAUCCUGGGGCUGAAGUAGGUCCCAAGGGUAUGGCUGUUCGCCAUUUAAAGUGGUACGCGAGCUGGGUUUAGAACGUCGUGAGACAGUUCGGUCCCUAUCUGCCGUGGGCGCUGGAGAACUGAGGGGGGCUGCUCCUAGUACGAGAGGACCGGAGUGGACGCAUCACUGGUGUUCGGGUUGUCAUGCCAAUGGCACUGCCCGGUAGCUAAAUGCGGAAGAGAUAAGUGCUGAAAGCAUCUAAGCACGAAACUUGCCCCGAGAUGAGUUCUCCCUGAGACUUAAAGUCUCCUGAAGGAACGUUGAAGACGACGACGUUGAUAGGCCGGGUGUGUAAGCGCAGCGAUGCGUUGAGCUAACCGGUACUAAUGAACCGUGAGGCUUAACCCUA